rnacentral:ncRNA from 1 species
AAAUAAGCUAUGAAAUAGGAGUAGUAGAUAUAUAUUGAUUUAAAGAGAGCUGUUGGUUGGUGCAAAGCAGUAGUCGAUAGUAUCGAACUUACCUAGGAGCAGAUUGGAGAGUAUUAGGCUAGUAGCCACUAAAAAUCCAAUACGUAAACUCGCGUUAAGAGAAAGAGAGAGUGGCUGUCACUAGUCACUAAUGUUGGUGGUACCGCGGGUAUAUACUCGUCCAUACU